rnacentral:lncRNA from 1 species
AAUAAAAAAAAAAACAAACAGAGAGAGAGAUGUAUCAGUUCAACUCUCCCUGAACUCACCUUUGGUAUCCAUGACUCCUCUUUGGUAUCCAUGCAUCUGACUCCUCUUUGGUAUCCAUGAAAAACAUUCUUAGGUCCUCUGUAUUGCAUGUAUGUUCUCACAGACCUGGAUAUGAAAUACAGGCAGCUGUGGUGACCACGAUGAAAUCUCAGUUUAAUGAAAGAAAAGUCAGGGAAUGUGCAGUGCAUAGAGCUUCACGAAUGAGCCAAAUUAAUCUGAGAAGCACAAGAAAGAAGGCAACAAAAGCAUCUGUACAUCAGACCUUUGGUCAGCUACGCAUCAUCAGCAAGAUCCUACUGUCCUCUCAGACAACUCAUAGUCUGUCAAAAGCCAGAAAUGGAGAUAGAAGGCAGGGAGAAAACCCUUUGGGACAGUCUAACAUUCAAAAUAAAGUUGAUAUUGCAACCCCUCCUGAUUUAAGACUGUGAAGCAUCCCUGUUCCUGACUAACAUGCCAGGUCCCAUGCUGGCAUAUGUCUUCUUUGGUCAGUGUGCAACAAGGUAUCCUUUCUCUGAUCCUGCCCUUCCGCCUGCAUAGAUCAUGAUACCAUUUCUGAUGGUAGGAGACAAAGGGAGACGCUGAAGUAAUUGAUUCAAGCUUAUCUAAGUAUUUACAGAAAUAAGCCUGAAUGACUAGACAUAAAAUACUAUAGCAGUCAGAUUAAGACAAUCCACUCCAGUUACAGUUAAUCAGGGCUUUAGCCUCCAAGGAGCUGAUUUGAGACUAAUAAAGUGUUUUCCAGCUUCCA